UACAGAGGUCUCAAGCGUUGUUCGGAUUCAUUGGGCGUAAAGGGUGUGUAGGUGGCGCGCUAAGUCGGGUGUGAAAUUUCGGAGCUUAACUCCGAAACUGCAUUCGAUACUGGCGUGCUUGAGGACUGGAGAGGAGACUGGAAUUCAUGGUGUAGCAGUGAAAUGCGUAGAGAUCAUGAGGAAGACCAGUGGCGAAGGCGGGUCUCUGGACAGUUCCUGACACUGAGGCACGAAGGCCAGGGGAGCAAACAGG
rnacentral:rRNA from 1 species